rnacentral:misc_RNA from 1 species
UUUUCUAAAAUGGCCACCUCAGCAGGCUCUGGGAACAAACCUCUUACCAACAGUUCGUCAGGUGACACCUUCCGCUGUCCAAUAUGUCUGGAAGAGGUCAGGAAUCCAAAGUACCUGUCGUGUCUUCAUACAUUCUGUGAAUCGUGUAUUCAAACAUAUAUAUCGAGUACUGCAACGUGCCAUGACAGUUUGAAUACAAAGACGAUUAAUUGUCCGUAUGUCGAAAAUGCAUCGAUGCUCCCAGGAAGGACAUUUCAGACGAAGAGUGGGCAUCUUCCUUACCCCAAAAUAAACUAAUUGUAAGCAUGUUGCUGAAUUCGAACCCCGACAAGGAAUUGUGUAAGUUCUGCGAGCGAAAACAGAAACGUGUGUCUGCUACACACUGGUGUAAAGCAUGUAUGGAAACCAUCUGCAAUGAAUGCAAGGCUUUUCAUGAACUCGUACCAAGUCUUCAAGAUCACAAAAUCGCGAAUUUGGACGAUACGAAAGUGUGCGAAGUUGGCGUUGAAGUUGAAGAAUUCUGUCCAGAACACCAAGGGAAGAUAAUUGAUGCAUUUUGUCACCAACACCAAAAGCUUUGCUGUUGUUUUUGCCUUGUCAAACAUCAUAGAUUGUGUUCAAAGGUGGAAACUAUAACAGACAUCGGAGUAGAAACAGAACAACAUGAUGUUCCAAAUAUCAUUUCAAUAUUCUCUGACUUGGAGAAAUGUAUUGAGAAUAUGCAGGAACAAAAUAAGACCAAAAUUGUAGACCUUUCUGUAAUGAAACAAGAAAUAUGUACUAAAACUGAAAUAGCAAUCAAAGAGAUUACAACAUUAGUUAACGAUGCUCAUGCAGCAUGGAUUAAAGCAUUUGAACAGACCCAUGCAGAUUCAGUCGGAAUUGUAGAAACUGCUUCGGAUGAAUUGAAACGAUUUUCAACCACGGUACAUGAAACAAAAAUUCUUUUGCAGUCCGUGCUUAAAAGUGGUUCCCCAAAACAACUGUUUGUCACCAAACAAAAUCAGCUCGCCCGAAUCAAUAACCACAUCUCGCAUUUGAAAUCUUUAGAUCUUUGGAAUUUUCCUGAAAAGUACACACAACCAGACUUUAAUUUCCUGAAACAACUUUCAAAUCAAAUGAAGUUUGAAGAUGUAAAUAUGUCAAAAGGUACAUCUGGAACUAUAGAGACUAUUCUAUACACUUUUCGAAACGUUACUGGCAGUGAUAUAUUUCGAAGGAAGCAGGAAAUGUCCCGUAAGGAUUGGAUGAAAGUUAGCUUUAAAUUAACAUCCAAAAUACGGAAUUUGUCGGAGUAUGUGUAUUAUGGUUUGUUCGUCCAUGAUACAAAAAUUAUUUUGCCCUUUCGAAAUCCCCCGUCACUUAAAAUUUUCGAUGUUAGCAAAACUGAGGGGAAAUGUAUUCACACUGAAUUGUGUCAGGAAACACCGUACGGUCUGUGCCAUUCCAGGGUAAACGAGAGCUUGAAUGAGGUUUACGUGUCUUUUCUGAACUUUGUUGACCUUUAUAGCAUCGAUGUAGAACCAAUGGUCAAAUGCACUAAACUACAAACAAUACAACUCAGUAAACCCAUGAAAGCAAUUUCAUGUGGACUGAACUCUAUAUUCUCUGCAAAUGAUUCCGAGGCAUUUAUUUGUUCAGAGGAUUUUAGUGUUCAGUAUAGUUCUUCAUUUAACAGAGAGGGGGCUUUAACCCCGUUCCUCUCAUCGUCUUCAAAAUCUGAUUUUCAUUGUUUUUCCAAAAACGGACGCGUUGUGGUUGCUGAUGGAAACAACAAAACUAUUUUUGAGAGUAACAAAUUUCAAAGCGAUCUUCGCGGAAUGACAUUUGAUUUACAUGACAAUAUUCUGGUUUGCAAUCGGAAAAAUAAGCUGAUUCAGAUCAGAAAUGGAUGUAGCGAAAGUAGAAACAUAGAAUUAAACAGAUGGAAGCGAUUCAUAUAAUGUCAUUCUUCAUCCCACAGGCGAAAAGAUGAUGAUUUUAGAGUGCUUCUCUAUAAAUGAAUGUUGUGUGUACCAAAUUUUGUAGACUUCAUAUAUUAUGACUGAAGUGCCCAGUUCAAUGUUUUUUAUGUUGCCAACGAAGAUGUGAUCGUUGAAAAUUAGACGUAUUCUAUGAAAUAAAAUUGAUUACAAUUUGC